GUGGGAAAUGCAGCAGCUACUGGAAAAUUUCUAAAUAAAAUUAGAUCCUAAAAAAAUUAUAUUAAUUGAAUAUUUACAGUGUGUGUAUAUGAUGAAUGCAGUGUGUGUGUAUGAGUGCAGUGUGUGUAUGAAUGCAGUGUGUGUGUAUGAAUGCAGUGUGUGUGUAUGAGUGCAGUGUGUGUGUAUGAAUGCAGUGUGUGUAUGAAUGCAGUGUGUGUGUAUGAAUGCAGUGUGUGUAUG